UACGUAGGGUGCAAGCGUUGUCCGGAAUUACUGGGCGUAAAGCGCGCGCAGGCGGUUGGCCGUGUCCGAUGUGAAAGCCCCGGGCUUAACCUGGGAAUGGCAUUGGAAACUGGCUGGCUGGAGUGUGGCAGAGGGGGGUGGAAUUCCACGGUGUAGCAGUGAAAUGCGUAGGAGAUGUGGAGGACACCGAUGGCGAAGGCAGCCCCCUGGGCCAACACUGACGCCUCAGGCACGAAAGCGUGGGGAGCAAACAGG
rnacentral:rRNA from 1 species